rnacentral:rRNA from 1 species
AGCCAGGAUGUUGGCUUAGAAGCAGCCAUCAUUUAAAGAAAGCGUAAUAGCUCACUGGUCGAGUCGGCCUGCGCGGAAGAUGUAACGGGGCUAAACCAUGCACCGAAGCUGCGGCAGCGACACUAUGUGUUGUUGGGUAGGGGAGCGUUCUGUAAGCCUGCGAAGGUGACCUGUGAGGGUUGCUGGAGGUAUCAGAAGUGCGAAUGCUGACAUAAGUAACGAUAAAGCGGGUGAAAAGCCCGCUCGCCGGAAGACCAAGGGUUCCUGUCCAACGUUAAUCGGGGCAGGGUGAGUCGACCCCUAAGGCGAGGCCGAAAGGCGUAGUCGAUGGGAAACAGGUUAAUAUUCCUGUACUUGGUGUUACUGCGAAGGGGGGACGGAGAAGGCUAUGUUAGCCGGGCGACGGUUGUCCCGGUUUAAGCAUGUAGGCUGGUUAUCCAGGCAAAUCCGGAUAAUCAAGGCUGAGGUGUGAUGACGAGGCACUACGGUGCUGAAGUAACAAAUGCCCUGCUUCCAGGAAAAGCCUCUAAGCAUCAGGUAACAUCAAAUCGUACCCCAAACCGACACAGGUGGUCAGGUAGAGAAUACCAAGGCGCUUGAGAGAACUCGGGUGAAGGAACUAGGCAAAAUGGUGCCGUAACUUCGGGAGAAGGCACGCUGGUGUGUAGGUGAAGUCCCUGCGGAUGGAGCUGAGACCAGUCGAAGAUACCAGCUGGCUGCAACUGUUUAUUAAAAACACAGCACUGUGCAAACACGAAAGUGGACGUAUACGGUGUGACGCCUGCCCGGUGCCGGAAGGUUAAUUGAUGGGGUUAUCCGUAAGGAGAAGCUCUUGAUCGAAGCCCCGGUAAACGGCGGCCGUAACUAUAACGGUCCUAAGGUAGCGAAAUUCCUUGUCGGGUAAGUUCCGACCUGCACGAAUGGCGUAAUGAUGGCCAGGCUGUCUCCACCCGAGACUCAGUGAAAUUGAACUCGCUGUGAAGAUGCAGUGUACCCGCGGCAAGACGGAAAGACCCCGUGAACCUUUACUAUAGCUUGACACUGAACAUUGAGCCUUGAUGUGUAGGAUAGGUGGGAGGCUUUGAAGCGUGGACGCCAGUCUGCGUGGAGCCAACCUUGAAAUACCACCCUUUAAUGUUUGAUGUUCUAACGUUGGCCCCUUACCGGGGUUGCGGACAGUGUCUGGUGGGUAGUUUGACUGGGGCGGUCUCCUCCCAAAGCGUAACGGAGGAGCACGAAGGUUAGCUAAUCCUGGUCGGACAUCAGGAGGUUAGUGCAAUGGCAUAAGCUAGCUUGACUGCGAGCGUGACGGCGCGAGCAGGUGCGAAAGCAGGUCAUAGUGAUCCGGUGGUUCUGAAUGGAAGGGCCAUCGCUCAACGGAUAAAAGGUACUCCGGGGAUAACAGGCUGAUACCGCCCAAGAGUUCAUAUCGACGGCGGUGUUUGGCACCUCGAUGUCGGCUCAUCACAUCCUGGGGCUGAAGUAGGUCCCAAGGGUAUGGCUGUUCGCCAUUUAAAGUGGUACGCGAGCUGGGUUUAGAACGUCGUGAGACAGUUCGGUCCCUAUCUGCCGUGGGCGCUGGAGAAUUGAGGGGGGCUGCUCCUAGUACGAGAGGACCGGAGUGGACGCAUCACUGGUGUUCGGGUUGUCAUGCCAAUGGCACUGCCCGGUAGCUAAAUGCGGAAGAGAUAAGUGCUGAAAGCAUCUAAGCACGAAACUUGCCCCGAGAUGAGUUCUCCCUGAGACUUUAAGUCUCCUGAAGGAACGUU